rnacentral:rRNA from 1 species
UACGAAGGGGGCUAGCGUUGCUCGGAAUCACUGGGCGUAAAGGGUGCGUAGGCGGAUUUUUAAGUCGGAGGUGAAAGCCUGGGGCUCAACCCCAGAAUUGCCUUCGAUACUGAGAGUCUUGAGUUCGGAAGAGGUUGGUGGAAUUGCGAGUGUAGAGGUGAAAUUCGUAGAUAUUCGCAGGAACACCGGUGGCGAAGGCGGCCAACUGGUCCGAAACUGACGCUGAGGCACGAAAGCGUGGGGAGCAAACAGG